rnacentral:lncRNA from 1 species
AUGCACAGGGGCGACUUACCCGGCGGAGGCGAGACAGAGGGGCCCUGCUCGUCCUCGAGUGCUCUCCACCCCAGCCGUGAACGGCGAAGUCGGGGAGAACUUGGGAGGCCCCGCACUUUCCCACCUGCUGCGUCCGGACUACGUAGCUUGGGGACCGAGCCAAGUCAGGACCGGAGAGAGGGAGGGGCGCGCAACCGGGGUCCGCCGAGAACCGGAGCCCCGGCGCCAGUCGGCAGGGACGGCUGUGCCCCGAGACCCCUCUCCGCUGGUGGGCCGCGCGGACCGUGCCCAGAGCGCGUUCCCGCGCCGGGCGGCUGCGGCAAGAGGACCAGACAGUCCGCGCCUGGCAGUGAGGGCGACACCGGGCUUCCUCCACCGCCACCGCCGGGCUCCGCUGCGGCUCCCGGGCUCGGCAGGGUGCCCCGCGCCACCCCCAUCCCGCGUCCACCGGAAACGCGCGCGAGCUGCAGGCUCACCUGGAGCGCGGCUGCGCCGCUGGAGCCUCGGCUCAGCGAGCGCGCAGGUCCCGGCCGCUCUUUAUUCCGAGCCGCGGGCGGCGGCGGAGUCGCGGGCGCUCGGGCUGUGGCGAGGCGCGGCCGGCGAGCACUCCCCCUCCCGGCUCGGGGCUCCCGGCUCCAGGCUCCCGGCCCGGCGGCCCCACCCUCCCGGCUCCGGCCGCGCGGCCACCGCGCGGCCCCAGCGGAGGGGGCCGCUCCCCCGCGCCGCGCGCCCUGUUUGUUUUCCUUGCCGGACUGACGUGAGUCAAAAUAUUGGCCAUAUGUUCAGUGGUAAUAAAUUGGAUAUGAGCGCAAACACACUUGGGCUUCGAUGACUCUUUCAGCUGCCACAUGGCCGGCUUGGCCGGGAGGGGGCUUCCACCCCUGCCUCGGCCCCCCCGCCCCAAACACGCGAGUAGGUUCCCUCUCUGGAACGCCUUUCUGAGCUGGAGAUCUGGGACCCCAAGUCUCUCCCGACCCUCGCCCCUCCUCUGCCCCUAGCAGAGCUUUGGACUCCUCAGCUCCUGGCGAGCUCGGACUGCUGGUUGACAAGGUCGCCAUCUAUAAAUUGCUCGGUCGCUAAGACGCCAUAAAACCAAAGGACCAGAUGUGGCACGUUAUUUAUGUGUGAAACCGCGUUUACACUAGAUACGAGGAUCCAAGGCAGAUAGCACGACUUCGCGGGAGGUCACGGACAGCUCGCCCGGGCUCCAGGCUCCUCCCCCAGCACGAUCCCCUCUUCAGGUAGAGGGUCGUCGGUCUUCCCGGGAAAGGGAUUCAGCCCUGCAGCCCAGGAGGGAAGUGAUUUCAGUGCGCUUGUGCCAAAAUGCCACCUGUCCAGGAUUAGAGGCAGCCUCUGGGGUUUGUUUCCAUAGCUUUCCUGUUUCUCCUGCUCUUGCCUUCCUUUUAUUACAGGCCCCUGGGAGGCUGUUUUAUUUUCCAGGCGGUUGAUAACGUUUCAUGAGACCUUGGUCUGACACAGUAAGGGUGGUGUUUGAAAGCUGGAGAUGCCAACUCUGUGGGUUGGUGGGAUUUGGGGGUGGGGUCUCCUGACCCCCGAGGGAAGGAUUUUGGGAAGUGGGGCAGUCCAUCUGGCUGAGGGAGCACCUGAAAUUAUUCUCGCCUGGGGCCAGUGGUCGCUUCAGUGUCGCAUGUCACCUGCCUUAUUUAAAUUAAAGGGCAGCCAGGGCACUGGGAGAGGCAGUCCUGGCGUCGAAUAUGGAAUGCGGUGGCCCUGGGUGCUUCAGGAAAGGGAGGUAGAUACUCUGUCGUAAAAGAAAACAAUCGUUUUGCUUUCCUUCUUCAGAAGGCUGCCUCAGGACUGCAUGUCCCCAUACUGGUCACCUCACAUUUUACUCACAUGAAUUCAUUAAGAGUCAUUGUCUCUCCCUUGCCAUUAUUUUACUAUUUCUUGAAGUGAACCAAAUUCUCUCUGUGGUUAAUAAGCACUGAGCCAGGCCCCCUACCUUCCUUUUCAUCUUCAAAUCACCUGGGGCUCCCUGAAUGGCAUCUUCCUUCUGGCCAAGGAAAAUAAGAGAUGAAAAAUGUUGCCCUACUGCAGGGAAAAACAUAAGCAUUUGACUUUACUAUUACCAGUUACCCCAGGUCUGUGUUCCCUGGAUAACUGUCCUUAGGUGGCUGUUAGGGUGGAGAAAUGAUGCUGUUGAAAGCGGGUGGGAGAGAAGGGGAGAACCAACAUGGGCUGGGGGCGGGGAGGAGAGACCCAUCUGAUAGGGGCAAAAAGAGCCAUGAAAUGAAUCUCUUAACCUCAUGUGCUGAGCAGCAACCGCGACUCUCUGGGUUUGCUCUCCUGGGCCUUAGAUGAGUUCCUAGAAAGCUUCAGUUAACUGCAGAAAAACCUGGGGCUCCCUCAGGCCUGAAGCAGUGAUUGAUCUUGGAAAAUUAUACUGUUUUUCACUCAUUUUUCUUGGAUUUUUACAUCUUUAUUUAUGGUUAAAACCCAAAAUAUAGGGUUUAUUUUUGGAUUUACAUUACCUCCAAGUGGAAGCUCUGGGUGAAAAUACUGCUUCAUUAACAAAAUUAGACAAGGGGAUUUGAAGACAGGCCUUCAUACUCACAGUCCUUGUGGGAAUGGGUGUCUUCAUCUAACAAGUGCUCUGUGAAGAGGUUCGUGCUUUCUUCCUGCAUGUACCACGGAUAGGUGCUAGGCAGGGACUGAGAUGCAGACAAGAAGCUUAGAAAGUCAGCGUCUGGUACUCCCAGGGUGGAAAACUGAGAGACACAAAGCAAAGAGUACAUCAAGCCAGGCUUUGCAUCAUUCCCUAGUUAGGAAAACCCAUUUGAGCCCAGCAAAUGUAGCAGGGCGUCUACCAGGUAACUGAUGAUAAAAAUCCACGAUGAAGAAGAUGCAGCGGGGAGCAAGCUUUAAAUGAGAUACAACUGCUUAGAUACAACUCCUGUGUCUUCUCUUUGGGCUUAUUUGGCAAUCCAGUGCUAAACUUCAUACGCUAUGCCCUCCAGCCGUGACAGAUCGCAUGCUGUCCUCAGUUCCACCAGUUUUUAUGCUAUUCUUACUUCAGAAACAUUCCUGUCUUACUCAUGGACUCAAAAUGCACAGAUUUUCACACUGGAAAAACCUUUCUCCACAAUGCUCUCCACAGAGGCACCAUCAGCUGCAAGGUGCUUGUGCUGUUCCUCUCUGGGAGUGGUUAGUUCUCACUUACAAGUCAACACACAGUCAGCUGAAACAAACACUCCAGCGUGUUUUGACUUGAACUAGGAUAUAAUGGAAUUGUCUUGAAAAGAGUUAUUCAGUAGACCUCUCACAGAGAAGCUCUUUGCUUGUUAUAGCUGCUGGCACUGCUACACAGUUGAUUAAAUCAAGGAAGCUAAGGGCCUUGCUCACACCUUACCUGAGCCUCUUGUGUGGCCUCCAGAGAGGCACAAUGAAGGUGAGAGCUGAGGUGGAGGCUGAAGGAAGUAAGUACCCCCAACCCAGACCACAAGGGGCUGUCAGGAAGCAACGUGCAUCUGCAAGGAUCCCAAUGCACAAUGGGGAGCUGAAGACAGGCAAUGUCCCUUCCUGGGCCCUCACCAAGUGAAAGGGUAGGCUCUGCUUCCCAGCAGAACUGCUGCUUUUCCUCCAAUGCCUUCCGUAGCAGAGCCUGAAGGCAAGAGGCAUGGUCUUAUCAGGCUCUUGGGCUUUCAGAAGCCAAGAGUGAUACCAGUUCCUUCUUAUCUCUUGCAGAGAACCAAAGAACUGGGGUACCAGACACUUCAGGACAGAGAUUGUUUUGUUAAGGAGUUGGCAACAGCCAAAGAAUUUGGCAACAUGUAUAAAAUCUUCAAGAGGCAACAAUCAGAUGCAUCUAGAUAUAGAAACUAGACCAGCGGUGGCCUAGAGUUGGGAGUUAGGGGCUGGGGGGCUGGGGAUUGAGGGCUGAGGGGUGUGGGGUUUCUUUUUGGGGUGAGGAAAAUGCUCUGAUAUUGAUUUUGGUGAUGUUGCACAACUCUGUGAGCAUAUUAAAAGCCACAUGCAGUACAAAUUCAAUGGGUAUAUUAAUGUACACAUUAAGCAGGUGAAUUGUAUGAUGCAUGAGUUACAUCUCAAUAAAGUAAAGCUAUUUAACAAGUCAGUGCAGCUCUUGUUUAUCUGGGCUAGAAACUUGGAGGGGAGAGAGGCAUUGGGGAAAGAUCCUGAAAAUUGUUUCCCAUCUUCCCAAGUUUUAUUCUGAGUGUUUUCAAACACCUAGAAAAGUUGAAAGAACAGUAAACAUUUGCAUGCCUUCCACCUGGAUUCAGCAUUUGCUAGUGUUUUGCCACAUACAUUUUAUCACUCGGUGUAAGUAUACUUUCAUUUUGCUGAACUAUUUGGAAUGAAGGUUGCAGAAACUUCCCCGUGGAAUAUUUCAGCAGAAGGCUCCUAAAAAUAGAAUUCUUCAAUAUAAUCACAAGGCCAUGACCAC